UACAGAGGGUGCAAGCGUUGUUCGGAAUUACUGGGCGUAAAGCGCGUGUAGGCGGAUAGAGAAGUCGGGUGUGAAAGCCCUGGGCUUAACCCAGGAAUGGCGCCCGAAACCAUCUAUCUGGAGUGCGGUAGGGGAGCGGGGAAUUCCCGGUGUAGAGGUGAAAUUCGUAGAUAUCGGGAGGAACACCAGUGGCGAAAGCGCCGCUCUGGGCCGUUACUGACGCUAAGACGCGAAAGCGUGGGUAGCAAACAGG
rnacentral:rRNA from 1 species